AUUGAACGCUGGCGGCAGGCCUAACACAUGCAAGUCGAACGAGUGGCGGACGGGUGAGUAAUGUCUGGGAAACUGCCCGAUGGAGGGGGAUAACUACUGGAAACGGUAGCUAAUACCGCAUACCAUCGGAUGUGCCCAGAUGGGAUUAGCUUGUAGGUGAGGUAACGGCUCACCUAGGCGACGAUCCCUAGCUGGUCUGAGAGGAUGACCAGCCACACGGGAACGGAGACACGGUGCAGACGCGUACGGGAGGCAGCAGUGGGGAAUAGUGCACAAGGGGCGCAGGCCGGAUGUAGCCACGCCGCGUGUAUGAAGAAGGCCUUCGUGUUGUAAAGUACUUUCAGCGGGGAGGCGUUACCCGCAGAAGACGCACCGGCUAACUCCGUGCCAGCAGCCGCGGUAAUAC
rnacentral:rRNA from 1 species